rnacentral:rRNA from 1 species
CAAGUCGAGCGGACAGAUGGAGCUGCUCCUGAUGUUAGCGGCGGACGGGGUGAGUAACACGUGGGUAACCUGCCUGUAAGACUGGGAUAACUCCGGGAAACCGGGGCUAAUACCGGAUGCUUGUUUGAACCGCAUGGUUCAGACAUAAAAGGUGGCUUCGGCUACCACUUACAGAUGGACCCGCGGCGCAUUAGCUAGUUGGUGAGGUAACGGCUCACCAAGGCRACGAUGCGUAGCCGACCUGAGAGGGUGAUCGGCCACACUGGGACUGAGACACGGCCCAGACUCCUACGGGAGGCAGCAGUAGGGAAUCUUCCGCAAUGGACGAAAGUCUGACGGAGCAACGCCGCGUGAGUGAUGAAGGUUUUCGGAUCGUAAAGCUCUGUUGUUAGGGAAGAACAAGUGCCGUUCAAAUAGGGCGGCACCUUGACGGUACCUAACCAGAAAGCCACGGCUAACUACGUGCCAGCAGCCGCGGUAAUACGUAGGUGGCAAGCGUUGUCCGGAAUUAUUGGGCGUAAAGGGCUCGCAGGCGGUUUCUUAAGUCUGAUGUGAAAGCCCCCGGCUCAACCGGGGAGGGUCAUUGGAAACUGGGGAACUUGAGUGCAGAAGAGGAGAGUGGAAUUCCACGUGUAGCGGUGAAAUGCGUAGAGAUGUGGAGGAACACCAGUGGCGAAGGCGACUCUCUGGUCUGUAACUGACGCUGAGGAGCGAAAGCGUGGGGAGCGAACAGGAUUAGAUACCCUGGUAGUCCACGCCGUAAACGAUGAGUGCUAAGUGUUAGGGGGUUUCCGCCCCUUAGUGCUGCAGCUAACGCAUUAAGCACUCCGCCUGGGGAGUACGGUCGCAAGACUGAAACUCAAAGGAAUUGACGGGGGCCCGCACAAGCGGUGGAGCAUGUGGUUUAAUUCGAAGCAACGCGAAGAACCUUACCAGGUCUUGACAUCCUCUGACAAUCCUAGAGAUAGGACGUCCCCUUCGGGGGCAGAGUGACAGGUGGUGCAUGGUGU